CUCGGUGAUUGAAGCGAUUUGGACCGACCCGAUCCCAUUCCGAACUCGGAAGUCAAACAUUUUAGCGUCGACAAUACCUGAUUCGCGAGAUUCCGGGAAGAUAGAUCAUUGCCGGGG
rnacentral:rRNA from 1 species